UGAUUUGAGUGAAUGUGUUAA
ensembl:piRNA 21ur-3321 ncRNA